AUGAACGCUAGCGACAGGCUUAACACAUGCAAGUCGAGGGGCAGCGGGGGUAGCAAUACCCGCCGGCGACCGGCGCACGGGUGAGUAACGCGUAUGCAACUUGCCUAUCAGAGGGGGAUAACCCGGCGAAAGUCGGACUAAUACCGCAUGAAGCAGGGGCCCCGCAUGGGGAUAUUUGCUAAAGAUUCAUCGCUGAUAGAUAGGCAUGCGUUCCAUUAGGCAGUUGGCGGGGUAACGGCCCACCAAGCCGACGAUGGAUAGGGGUUCUGAGAGGAAGGUCCCCCACAUUGGUACUGAGACACGGACCAAACUCCUACGGGAGGCAGCAGUGAGGAAUAUUGGUCAAUGGGCGUAAGCCUGAACCAGCCAAGUCGCGUGAGGGAUGAAGGUUCUAUGGAUCGUAAACCUCUUUUAUAAGGGAAUAAAGUGCGGGACGUGUCCCGUUUUGUAUGUACCUUAUGAAUAAGGAUCGGCUAACUCCGUGCCAGCAGCCGCGGUAAUACGGAGGAUCCGAGCGUUAUCCGGAUUUAUUGGGUUUAAAGGGUGCGUAGGCGGCCUUUUAAGUCAGCGGUGAAAGUCUGUGGCUCAACCAUAGAAUUGCCGUUGAAACUGGGGGGCUUGAGUAUGUUUGAGGCAGGCGGAAUGCGUGGUGUAGCGGUGAAAUGCUUAGAUAUCACGCAGAACCCCGAUUGCGAAGGCAGCCUGCCAAACCAUGACUGACGCUGAUGCACGAAAGCGUGGGGAUCAAACAGGAUUAGAUACCCUGGUAGUCCACGCAGUAAACGAUGAUCACUAGCUGUUUGCGAUACAUUGUAAGCGGCACAGCGAAAGCGUUAAGUGAUCCACCUGGGGAGUACGCCGGCAACGGUGAAACUCAAAGGAAUUGACGGGGGCCCGCACAAGCGGAGGAACAUGUGGUUUAAUUCGAUGAUACGCGAGGAACCUUACCCGGGUUUGAACGCAUUUCGACCGCUCUGGAAACAGAGCCUCUAGCAAUAGCGAUUUGCGAGGUGCUGCAUGGUUGUCGUCAGCUCGUGCCGUGAGGUGUCGGCUUAAGUGCCAUAACGAGCGCAACCCUUGCCACUAGUUACUAACAGGUGAUGCUGAGGACUCUGGUGGGACUGCCAGCGUAAGCUGCGAGGAAGGCGGGGAUGACGUCAAAUCAGCACGGCCCUUACAUCCGGGGCGACACACGUGUUACAAUGGCGUGGACAAAGGGAAGCCACCUGGCGACAGGGAGCGAAUCCCCAAACCACGUCUCAGUUCGGAUCGGAGUCUGCAACCCGACUCCGUGAAGCUGGAUUCGCUAGUAAUCGCGCAUCAGCCAUGGCGCGGUGAAUACGUUCCCGGGCCUUGUACACACCGCCCGUCAAGCCAUGGGAGCCGGGGGUACCUGAAGUCCGUAACCGCGAGGAUCGGCCUAGGGUAAAACUGGUGACUGGGGCU
rnacentral:rRNA from 1 species